rnacentral:rRNA from 1 species
GAUGAACGCUGGCGGCGUGCCUAAUACAUGCAAGUCGAGCGAACAGACGAGGAGCUUGCUCCUCUGACGUUAGCGGCGGACGGGUGAGUAACACGUGGAUAACCUACCUAUAAGACUGGGAUAACUUCGGGAAACCGGAGCUAAUACCGGAUAAUAUAUUGAACCGCAUGGUUCAAUAGUUCAAGACGGUUUUGCUGUCACUUAUAGAUGGAUCCGCGCCGCAUUAGCUAGUUGGUAAGGUAACGGCUUACCAAGGCAACGAUGCGUAGCCGACCUGAGAGGGUGAUCGGCCACACUGGAACUGAGACACGGUCCAGACUCCUACGGGAGGCAGCAGUAGGGAAUCUUCCGCAAUGGGCGAAAGCCUGACGGAGCAACGCCGCGUGAGUGAUGAAGGUCUUCGGAUCGUAAAACUCUGUUAUUAGGGAAGAACAAAUGUGUAAGUAACUAUGCACGUCUUGACGGUACCUAAUCAGAAAGCCACGGCUAACUACGUG